rnacentral:rRNA from 1 species
UACGUAGGGGGCAAGCGUUGUCCGGAUUUACUGGGCGUAAAGCGCGCGUAGGCGGAAGGUUAAGCGUGGCCUGAAAGCCCCCGCUCAACCGGGGAGGGCGGCUGCGAACUGGCCUUCUUGAGGGCGAUAGAGGGGGGGCGGAAUUCCUGGUGUACGGUGAAAGUGACGUAGGAGAUCAGGAGGAACACCCGUGGCGAAGGCGGCCCCCUGGGUCGGCCCUGACGCUGAGGCGCGAAAGCGUGGGGGAGCGAACGGGAUAGAUACCC